AGCCAGUAAUCCAGUCGAGCAGUCAGACAGACCAGUUCCUAUGAUUUUCCAUCUUUCCUAUUCAUGAGGUAAUUGACGUUCAUGCAAAUUUUGAAUUCAGAUUAGUUUAUACAUAUGCAUCAGUUUUAGAUUCCAGAUAUUCAGUUAUGAUUCAGUCCAUAAGUUUCCUGAGCAUUAUCUCAGUCUUUCCUUAGUAUGUCAGCCAAGUCAAUAUCAUUCAGGGGACGAAGU
rnacentral:lncRNA from 1 species